AUUGUUGCUGGGCGUUCCACGGCUGAGUCUGCCACUUUAUGUUGUAGGCAUUACCAUAAUUUGAUCUUUGAGCAUUGCCUACAUACAUUACUGAUUCUGGAUUUGAAGCACACAUGGAUGUAGAAUGACCACUACUUUUGCAGAUCUCACACCAACCACUAGCUUGCUCAACUGCAUUGACUACUUUUGUAGGCUAUGGAGCUCCCAAUUUAGGCUGCUGAACUGAGUAUUAAUCAUGUUUUGUAAUGCAACAACCUGAGUUGAUAAGACAGUGAACUGGUCCACCU
rnacentral:lncRNA from 1 species